CAGCCGCCGCGGUAAUACGAAGGGGGCUAGCGUUGUUCGGAUUUACUGGGCGUAAAGGGUGCGUAGGCGGAUUGUUAAGUCAGGGGUGAAAUGCCGGGGCUCAACCUCGGAACUGCCUUUGAUACUGGCGAUCUUGAGUCCGGGAGAGGUGAGUGGAACUGCGAGCGUAGAGGUGAAAUUCGUAGAUAUUCGCAAGAACAUCAGUGGCGAAGGCGGCUCACUGGCCCGGAACUGACGCUGAGGCACGACAGCGUGGGGAGCAAACAGGAUUAGAUACCCGCGUAGUCCCUGUCUCUUAUAC
rnacentral:rRNA from 1 species